rnacentral:rRNA from 1 species
GUCUAUGGCCAUGCCACCCUGAAUGUGCCCAAUCUCAUCUGAUCUCGGAAGCUAAGCAGGGUCGGGCCUGGUUAGUACUUGGAUGGGAGACCACUUAGGAAGUUAAAGUGCUAGAGGCG